UAGCUCAGUUGGUUAGAGCGUGGUGCUAAUAACGCCAAGGUCGCGGGUUCGAUCCCCGUACGGGCCAGUACUUUUUGCCCGUCCCGCUUCCGAUUCCGGCGGUCCCGCUCCAGCCAAGCGCCCGCGGGAACGCGGCACCCACUGACGGGAGAGGCCCGGGACGGGUGGGGAGGACACGCAAAACAGCCGAACAACUGCCGAUAAAAGACGUGAUGGGGGGAGGAAAUACGUGGAGGGAGGUUGUAAGUCUUUCCGUAGCUCAUCACCGAAGUGUUCCAUGUUUUUCCCCGCGACGGUUUGUUCAAGUGCUUCUGUUAAUUAGCGCUACAAGAAAGCUUGCAGGAAUUCAGAAGGUCUCCCCUUCCAUAGGUUGUUGAACAGGAGAAUGACUUCCAAAACUAUGAUUCUUCAUUGAACUCUUUCACUGCAGCAUCUGUAUUUGCUUUGAAUGGAUUCAGGACACCAAGCAACCAGGGCACUCAGCUUGUUCUGGCUGAUUUUUUUGCCAUCCCCAUUACUUCUUUGUGGUAUCCUCAAGCUUUAU